ACCAGCUCAGAGAGAUGCUGCUCUUGGUUGGCCACAGUCCUUAAGCUGACCUGGCAUGCAGGGAUGACAAAGGUGGGAGCUGAUAUGAGGUGCAGGGACUGAAAGCAAGCGAUGAAAUCUCACGACUUCGCGUGAACUCUCUCUCAUGACAGAGGACAACUCCUGACUUCGGUUUUCACUGCAGCAGUGUGUUAAGUCCUGACACACACUUUCAAUUCACAGUAUCUACACAAGUUUCAUGCUACAGCUUCGUGGGCAAAUAAACCUCAUAUCACAGCAGUGAA